GGGACAACCCGCCGAAAGGCGGGCUAAACCCGCGUACAUGCCACCGGGGCAUCCCGGAGGCAGGAAAGGCUUCGGCCGGACAGGGAUGGGCAUGCGGCGCAUUAGGCAGUAGGCGGAGUAACGGCCCACCUAACCGACGAUGCGUAGGGGUUCUGAGAGGAAGGUCCCCCACACUGGUACUGAGACACGGACCAGACUCCUACGGGAGGCAGCAGUGAGGAAUAUUGGUCAAUGGUCGGGAGACUGAACCAGCCAAGCCGCGUGAGGGAGGAAGGUACAGAGUAUCGUAAACCUCUUUUGUCAGGGAACAAAGACUGGGACGCGUCCCCGGAUGAGUGUACCUGAAGAAAAAGCAUCGGCUAACUCCGUGCCAGCAGCCGCGGUAAUACGGAGGAUGCGAGCGUUAUCCGGAUUUAUUGGGUUUAAAGGGUGCGCAGGCGGUCUGUUAAGUCAGCGGUCAAAGCCCGGGGCUCAACCCCGGCCCGCCGUUGAAACUGGCAGUCUCGAGUUGGAGAGAAGUAUGCGGAAUGCGCGGUGUAGCGGUGAAAUGCAUAGAUAUCGCGCAGAACUCCGAUUGCGAAGGCAGCAUGCCGGCUCCACACUGACGCUGAGGCACGAAAGCGUGGGUAUCGAACAGGAUUAGAUACCCUGGUAGUCCACGCAGUAAACGAUGAAUGCUGGCUGUCCG
rnacentral:rRNA from 1 species